GUGGAGGCAGCAGGGGGAGGAAAGCUGGUCACAGCUAAUUUCAAUCAAUCAAUCAAUCAAUCAAUCAAUCAAUCAAUCAAUCAAUCAAUCAAUCAAUCAAGUUUAGUUAUGUAGCACAUUUACAGCGACAGCUAACCGGUUUAGAUCGCAGUGUAUCCAUGUGCUAAAAUGGCCUAGACAAAGUCCAAAUGUAAGUCCAGUUGAGAUUUGAGGAAAAACUUAAAAAAAAAAAAAUGUGCGUCCUCAGAUGCUCUUCAUUCAAUCUGAGUGAGUUGGAGCCAUUUUGCUGUUUUCGCAAAGCUUGGACUCAAGCAGAUAAACACAACGACUCGCCACCUUUUUUUCAGAUUGUUUUUUUUUUUUUUUUUUUAAACAAAAUCACGUUCCCAUCAUCUCAUUUCUAUGUGACAAUUACGGUUCACUUUGUUGGCCUGUUAUGUGAAAUUCCAGUGUCAUGACGGCUGAGGCAACUUGUAGAAAAUGUCCAGGCCUGACUUCUGGACUGAUGGGUUUCUAAUUCCAUCCCAGCCCCGGUGAGCAGCGCUGGGAUGGAGACUGGAGGUCUGAAGGUUUUAUAUCUUUGCUCAAGUUUCUCAUGAAAUCAUUCAGAAGUGCUUUCAACAAGAACCGCCUUCGAAAAAAAAAAAAAAAACGGUGUUGAGCGAGACGGCCUGCUUCAUGAUUUUUUUCCCCCCACUUAAUGAGUUUUUAACACGUCAACAAAUCUCCUCCGGCUGCUGUGACCUUUUCUCUCGCCAGAUGAUGAAGAUGAUCGACUGGAGAUUGAGAGAUCUGGAAAAAGAAAGAAAGAAAAACUCUCCCAUCUGCAGGGUAAAGAUGUCGAUGCCACCUUCUGCUCGGACGAGAGAAUCUGUUUUUCGUCCUCUGCUGCUGCGUAAUAAAAACACAUCUGGAUGCAGAGAUGAAUGUGAAGUGAACCCCAGCCGCCUGUUUCCAUCUCAGGCUGCAGAAACACGUGAUCGACCCCGGCGCCAAAUCCGAGCCUGGUUUUAACGUUAGUCAUGCCGAAGCUGAACAGAAGA